AGGUCCACAGUAUAUCCUUGAAUGCUCUUCUGCUCUCCAGCUGCUGUUUCUGCAAGGACCAGUCUCCUGAGGCUCUGCACUGUGUCUGGCUGCUCACAGGAGAAAGAAUCUCAUCUGUUUGUGGGUUCAGAUGCUCAGGACAAGCUAUAUUCAUUAGCCCUGGCAGGUGUGUAAUGCUUUCCUGACCACAAACGUCAUUCAGAAGGAAAACAGAAGUUUAAAAACCUGACAUCACUCUGAAGUUCGUUCAUGGUGUGGGUGUAAACCAGACCCAGCUUUAACAACACAGCACACUUUCUGCUGUGGCUGCCUCUCUUACUGAGCUGUUAAAACCAGCAACAGUCAAGCAAACAGAACAAGACUGGGAAUGCUAAACAUGGCACCCUCAAAAUCAUAUGAGCAAAGCAGCGAAAGAACUUAUUUACCCUCACACCCUGAGAACAACCUACUAGCGCAGGUGAUGGAUGAUGAAGGAUGGGGUGGGCCUGGAGCUUGCUGGAGAGUCUGGGAAGGACUAAGGCUGCUUGGCUGGAUGAGCUUGCUGCCGGGUGUGUGCUGCAGGGGGUGGCCUCCUUCCUUCCCCAUUUCCUGCAAGGGAAGGUAGGAUGCUGGGUAAGGAUGUAAGAGGGGAGAAGGAACAUGUUAGUGAGCAUCUUCCAAAGACAUAUUUCAUUUGCUUCGAAGAUCUGUUCUCUCUUUUCUGUUAAGGAUAUGGAAAUUGACUGCAUUGUGGGCUGCAGUCAUGUGGAUGUUGGGUUUUCUGUUAUGACUAAGGAUUCAAUACUGUGUAGCACCCUAUAAUGUGGUCUGAUAGGACAUCUUCAGUUUACCACUGUAGACAAGUUUCUUUGAUUGCUUUGUGACUGGUGCAAUUGGAAACAUAUUCCAAACACAAUGAUGGGAAGAAAGGGAGGCCUAUAUUUCCCUUCAGUGCUCUCCAUGUGAUCUAUCUGGAUAGUGUACCCAUGCAGUUUUCUGUGGUUCUUUUGCAUACAGCUACCCCCGAGUGAAGUAAAAGUCUCUCUGCUUUCUUGACAUAAUAGGAGCUAUUUCUUCAAGGCAUGGGGCUUUCCAGGUUAGUAACAAAACUAUUAUUGUGUUUCUUAAAGGUAGAGCUUCUACAAGAGUAGUUCAUAAACAACAGUGUCAUGGGAUGUUUUCAGAGCAACUGAAGGUCUGCUUCACUUCCACAGAGAUCAUGAAAGUCUUGCUGUUAACAAUACCCUGCUUCACCUCCACUUGUUAUUCCAGCAGAAGAGACAUCUCUCAUGGUCCUGUGUCACAUCUGCAAGCCCUUUGGGCUGCUGAUCCCUGUCCUUUGUGAAGCUGUGCCAGGCACUGAUUUAUCAGUGAUCCAGCAAAAUGCUGCAUCCUGCCUUAAAAUUCCUGAAGACAGAAAAUUAAUUCAUAAGCUUUGGUCUGCAGGUGUCAACACACAAACCUGCCUGUACAGGUGGGAGAGUUCAGUCCUGUCCAUCAGUUGCAUUCCGUGCUUUCAAAGACCUGUGUCAGCAUUUUUCAAGCCUGUACACACUUGAAUUGGAACAUGAAGAAAACAUUCACAAAACUCAAGUAAAUGAACUGGUGAAAAAGUCUUGAAAGAGCAAAGUGGAGAUCCAGCAAAUGUGUAUGUCUGAUCCAUUCUACCCUUUCCAUACACUACUGAUAUGACAUUCUGAAAGUCUUCUGAGCAAAGACACACCUGUGGUGUCCAAACCAGGUGAGAUCUGGCAGGUUGGCAUCCUGGGGGCCCAUGUACCGCACCACUGUAACGUGCGCUGCCCUUCAGCAGCAGAUUUUGUAUUAGCUUUGAGACAAACUGCAAACUACAAAAAAAAUACAGCCAUGGAUUUGCUCCUGAGAGCACAACAAGCUUGUCCUGGGUAUAGUGACUUGUAGCUCUUUUCCAAAUGAUCCAGCUCUAGGAAAAGAAAAUAUAAGGGUCUUGCACUGAUGGGAUCUCAGUGAUUUGAGGAUUAGGCUGUACUUAAUGGCUCUGCUAAUUGAGUGGAAAGACCACCUCUGCUCUGCUUCUGCUCCUCCUGUUCUUUCUAGGACCAUAAAGGAGGAGGUGAGGGCACAGCCUACCUCCUGCAUGCGGGCAAGUGAAAGGGGAGGAGAGCACCCUGUUUUGCUUGUGUCUGCCACAGCCUGGACACCAGCAGUGUGGAGCUCGCCUUGUCCUUCCCCCUCCCCAAACCCAGCAAACUAGGCAAUAUUUCUCAGACACUUUCUGCCCACCUAGAUUUAGGAAAUCUACAGAGGAAUAAAUAACACAAAAAGAGCUCAACAGGUCUGAAUUCAAGGGAUUUCCAGCUUUCCCCAACCCCAAUUUCUGAAGCUGAGACUUCAUCCCAGUUCAUUACAUGCUUAAAGCAGAGAUCAGCUCUUCCUUCCUGUUCAUGCAGCUCUGGGAAAACUGGUUGUACUUUUGUUCAGAGAAGAAUAAACAGCAACCACUGACAUGGUCAGCUUGUUUCUACCAUCAUCACUGAUCUCGAUCUGUCAACUGCUUUUGCUGCUUAUUUGUUGGCAAAGACACUCAAACCAAAGGUCCUUUGGGAGACACAAAUACAAUAGAAGGAAACAUUUGCCUGAUGUCUGAUGUUACCGCAAAGAGCUGGCCAGUGCACAUAAAAAUAUUGGACUUAGGAUGGAAAAUUUAAUGGGAAAAUUUCAGGAACAGGACUUGUACUUCUCAGUGCCUAUCUGCUCCCUGACAUAUGCCUUUUUCAGCACAGUGGUACCUCUACAGCUGAAAGGCUUUGGGGCUCAGCUAGCCAGGGUACUAGUCAUAGCACCUCCCCUAGUCGUUCCCUGUUUUCUAUUCCCAAUCCCAUAGUGUUGUUCAGACUUCCAGACAGCUGUUCCCAUUUGAGUAGUCCUGAUGUGGAGUACAAUUUAAACCCAAGACACCAACCAUCUAAUCCUUCAGGAAGUUCUUCCUUAGAUGCAUUUUGGGUCUUCCCUCUUGCACCAGAAACACCCUAAUUCAGACACAAGCUUCAACUGAUCUGUGCUGCUGCUGCUUAUCCUCAAGAGAGUUCCUGUCUGUGUGUGAAAUGAAAGCUAGUUAUAAAAGAAGAGAAAAAUCUACCCCAAGUGGAUUCCCUGGGUUUGGACACGAGGCUGUGGGGCUGUCUUGAACCCCAGGAGAUUAAUUUCUGGUUAUGCAAACAAGCUCUGGAUGGAAAAUGUUGCCUGCUGAGGCUGGCUACUCCCACCACAACUAAUGUGUAGAAACUUGGUGUAGGUGGAGGUUGUGUCUCUGGGAAGUAUUGUGAUGGACCACUGUCAGUGCAGGAAACCUACAAAAAGGGGCAUGGUCAGAGGUCAGUCAGGCUGUUUUCAGUGGAUUUACUGCAGAUUUAGUAACAUUUCAUUGUUAUUUUAUAUGUAUUCAGCUUUACUGAUUAGUCAUCCAAGCAAAGGGGUUUGCAAUGGAAGCUACUGCAGAUUAGGAGGACACUGUAUAUGAGCACCAGCAGAGCUCACGCCACAGCAGCACCAAGCACAGGGUUGUGUAAUUUCAAAGUGAGAGUACCUGUCUCUCACCCUCUGUUGCACUAACCUGAGUUUAUUUUGCCAGUGGAACUCCUACAGAAAAGACAUGUAUGGCUGUUUUUGAAGUGGAAAGACAAAAGAACUUGUUGAUAGCACAAGGACAAAGCGACAAACACAUUAGAAAAGGUGGGCAAGAAGUGUUUAAACACAGGUUCAGCAACACAUAUUCAGAUGGGAAGAAGACAUUCUGCAAUAAACACAGGUAAGACAAGCUGUUCUGGAAGGGAGGUUGAGAUAGUGGGGGGAUUGAGAGUUGAGGGUAACAGCACAGACACAGAGUUUUUUCCCGAGGUUUGGAACUAAGGGAGAGAAAUUUAGUAUAGGGAAAACCAGUAAUAUAGAGCUACCAGUCUCCUCCAGGCCAGUAUUGCCACAAAAUGCUGUUUGGAAACUAGAUAGAUAUGAGAAGCUUUCUCAAAUACUGGGAAUCAGGAAAGAGAUGGUCACAAAGCUAACUUGAAAUGAUGCUGUUCAAAUGGCAGGAGGUUACAGAGUUGGAAAUCUGGAGUCUAAAUAUAUGGAUAACAGGACAGCACAGUGUGCAAAAAGCACAUAAAAGAACACUGCAAACAAGCUUAAAAAAGACUUGGUAAUGUACUGAUCUCAGAGUCCAGAGGUGUCACUACAAAAUAACGAAGUGUGGCCUCACUUUUCCUAACUUGAGAACACACAUGCAAAUUACUCCA